CCGUAGCUCAGUUGGAUUAGAGCAACGGCCUUCUAAGCCGUGGGUCAAGGGUUCGAACCCCUUCGG
rnacentral:tRNA from 1 species